AUUGAACGCUGGCGGCAGGCCUAACACAUGCAAGUCGAGCGGAUGAAGGGAGCUUGCUCCUGGAUUCAGCGGCGGACGGGUGAGUAAUGCCUAGGAAUCUGCCUGGUAGUGGGGGAUAACGUCCGGAAACGGGCGCUAAUACCGCAUACGUCCUGAGGGAGAAAGUGGGGGAUCUUCGGACCUCACGCUAUCAGAUGAGCCUAGGUCGGAUUAGCUAGUUGGUGGGGUAAAGGCCUACCAAGGCGACGAUCCGUAACUGGUCUGAGAGGAUGAUCAGUCACACUGGAACUGAGACACGGUCCAGACUCCUACGGGAGGCAGCAGUGGGGAAUAUUGGACAAUGGGCGAAAGCCUGAUCCAGCCAUGCCGCGUGUGUGAAGGAGGUCUUCGGAUUGUAAAGCACUUUAAGUUGGGAGGAAGGGCAGUAAGUUAAUACCUUGCUGUUUUGACGUUACCAACAGAAUAAGCACCGGCUAACUUCGU
rnacentral:rRNA from 1 species